CACGUAGGGGGCAAGCGUUGUCCGGAUUUAUUGGGCGUAAAGAGCUCGUAGGUGGUUCGGUAAGUCGGGUGUUAAACCCCCAGGCUCAACCUGGGGACGCCACUCGAUACUGCUGUGACUUGAGUCCGGUAGGGGAGCGUGGAAUUCCUGGUGUAGCGGUGAAAUGCGCAGAUAUCGGGAGGAACACCAGUGGCGAAGGCGGCGACCUGGGCCAAUAUUGACGCUGAGGUGCGAAAGCGUGGGGAGCAAACAGG
rnacentral:rRNA from 1 species